UGGAUGUGUCCUUUCAUUGUUGCCAUUCCCGUUGGUUUUAUAUCAAGGUGUCAAUUGCUAUGUGCAGAUUGCUGAACGGAGGAGGAGGAGAAGGAGUUCAGGCAUCAGGUUUUAAUGAUAGAAAAUAGUCUUCAUUCAAGGAUGGCAUGGUGGUUCAGCAGUUAAGAUGCUAGGCUUGUCAUCUAGAAGACCGUCAGCCCAGGUUCAAGACCCAAGCAUCAUGCAAUAGGUGUGAUAACUAACUUUCAGGAGGAGAACUCCGCAUUGGGACUGGAAGUUCUUCAUGCAACAAAAGCCAUGGUGUGCCAGCAGUAGCUAACAGGCAAAUGAAAAAUGAAUCAG